UGUGCCAUGAUGAAGAUAUGUUCGGUUCAUAAUGCUAGUUCGAUUUUUCUUCAAGAUGCGAAGGUCUCAGCCUGUUUUUUUUUUCAUUUUACUCUGUUGCUAGCGAUCAAUAAUUUAACUAUCCUUCUUUUAUUCAGUUAUAAUUAUUUCCGUUCAUUAAGUGCACCCCCCGACAAAAAAUUGUCUAAGUUUACCAUUAAUUUAUAAAGAAAAUCCAAAAUCCAGAAAAGAACAAAACAUAUAAGCCAAUCAACCACAAAACUUUCCCAAAAAGUCAACAAAAAAAAUGCGAAACAAUUUGUAUCUCAUCACCUUGUGCAUUAAACAUUUGGGUACCCACUGAUUGACCCACAACCAUCGGCGAUUUGCGGGAGGAAACGAGUUGUCAGGUGGAUAAACGUGGAAAAUGUUCGGUGCAGUGACGCGAGUCAAAACCACCAUUUAACAAUUUCAAUUAAUCUCCCAGGGAAAAAAAAAACGAAACAACAGUGGAAAAACUAGCGAGUGUUUGCACUAAAAAAAGCAAAGAUUAUAGGAGGCCUAGGAGCCAAGAAAAACGCAAAAAACGAAAAAAUCGAUUUCAGAAUAUUCCGGGAGGCCUAGACAAAUCGCAAAUCGUCUCACCAUGAUUUCCGAUAGUAACUCACUUCGUCCCUCUUUUCGGUGGAUUUUUAGUGGAGAAUUUUCACCACCUCCGGCGCGUUUCAGAAAAGGAAACGCUUAUUUAUGGUCUGAGUAAACUAGCGGGCCUGGGGCGCACUUGGGGACGAAAUCGACAGCUGUCCUUCUCCGUCCGUCCCCAAUCCUCCUUUCUGGGUGGUGUCCCUCGAAGUGGAAAAAAAAGGAAGUGGAUAUUUUACGGGGAAGAGGAGGCGCAGAUCCAAAAAUUGGAUCGAGUGCUCGGAGAGAGAGAGAGCUUCCACUAUGGCCAAGAAAUGGGAUACAUAUAUAUAUAUAUAUAUAUAUAUCCCAUUUGAUGUGUUGUUGGCUGCAUAAAUAAUAACCCGUGCAAUUUUCCGUGUAAUUGAUGGCGGUUUACUCCUCCUAUCGCCUUCAACUCUCUUUCUGCAUAACCUCCAGUGUUGUAUUCAUAAUGGUGAGUGAAUGGGGCAGCCCUUCGGUGCUGGACACCGAUGAUAGCCAGAGGAAGAUGGAGAAACACCGCGGGGCGUAAACUCGACAAUACCUUCGUCACGCCGUGGUGCAUUGUUUGGAUCCACAGGGCCACUCGAUCGUCAGCGUGUGUGGUCCAAAAGAGAGAGUCGAGUGGUUAGUUAGGUACGUCCAGGCGAUGGUGUCCAACCGGGAAAUUGUUCGACACGCGACCUUUCAGGCGAUGAAUACAAACUGUACAACUGGAGAAAAUUGAUUGGAUCCGUGUGGAGAGAUGAGGCUCGAUAAUAUCGGGACGUCUUUCCAUUUUAUUAGCUAUUUUGGAAAUAUAUCUGGGCGUUAUGUGUGUCUAUUGGCACCUCAAUUGGAAGAUUUCCUUGGAGUUUUUUUCCUGGCAUUUUUCCUCGGCGAAUUUUUCUCUUGGCAUUUUUUUUCUCAUUGAUCAAGCAAAAGUUGCCAUUGAUUCUUUCAUUAUCAAUCAUGAACAAACGGGAUGACUUGAUUUUCAUCCGGAAUUGCACCAGAAAAUAACUGGUGGUGGUCUUCCUGCGAAUCGACAGCGUGUGCGGUCCAAAGAGAGAGUCCAAUGUUUAGUUCAGGCGAUGGUGUCCAACCAGGUAAUUGUUUGACACGCGACCCUUUAUGAGGUGGGCUCAAACUUGGGAAAAUGAAUUGGAGUCGUGGGGAGAGGUGAUACUGAAGGUUCCGUAACGUCUUUUGGUUCUCUUAUUUAGGAAGGUGAAUCGGUGAGUUACAGAGCUAAAGUCGUUCGACACCCGGUGUCUCUCCUGCACCUCAAAUCUCCUAAAAAAAAUACAUCCCGUCCGAAAAAAAAUAGAGAUAACUUGACUCACUUGACGUCAAUCCUAAACGACCUGGGCCGAAUGCAGGAACCAUGUUACCUCGCCUCGUAAUGCAGCCCUGAAACAGCCGCCGGAGGGUCAUAAACAGCGCGCACAUUGGAGGUAACAACACACGGUAUAUUCACAGGAGCAUCAACGUGUACGAAGGGAAAAGGAAGUGCCCCAUGGCCUAUGUCGCUCUCCUGUCCCUGCCUAGAGCCUGUCACAUACGCUCUUUUGCGCUUAGUGGGAGUUACGAUGGCCGUAAUUCUUCAGUACCCAGGCUAGCGCUCUUUUAUCCGCUUUAACCCGCGCUCACACACCGUGUCCUCGCUUUUUGGCGCUCAAUGGAGGAAAGCACACGAUUCUCUGAUAUAUAAAACAACCAAUACGUGCAGGUGGGUAUCCACAGUGAGUCCAGAAUGACAAAGUUGAAGUUACGACACGGCUAAACUCACAAAAGCUUUUUACUAAACGACACCGGAGUUCAAUUUAUUCUUUUUUUUUUCAAACCUAAGUUUUGAUUUUGCCCAAGACGCUGUCUCAUAAUACCUCAUAUAUUCUCAGCAUUCCGAGGUAUUCGCGGUGAGGGGAGGGGGGGGGAGGUAUUGCUGGGGCACAAGUAGAUCCACGUGUUGCCCAAUUUUUUUUUUUUUGAAAGGUCUGUCGCUACAUUCGCAAUCCAAUAAAACUAAUUACACAAACCCUCAUUUAUUUUGCUGAUUACAAUCGAUAUUAUCAUUUCUUAAUUCAAUCCAAACUUUCAUAGUCAAUCCAUUUACUAUAAUGUCUACACAACUGAAAAUUUACGGUUGAAAUCCUUCGGACGAUUUUCGUUAGGAAAAAAUACGUGAAACUAUUUCCUGGAGCAUAAUAAUGUAUAAGUAAUAGGUUUCGGGCACCUCACCUGCCUCUCCCCAUUCACCGUGACCUGAAAUUUCGGGAAACGUGUAGAGAAAAAAAAAGGAAAAAUAGCGGAAACGAAGGCUGUCCAAACAGAGUGCAAAAUCCCGGGGUGACAAUGAUCUCGAUGAAGAGGGGUGAGGUAGUCCCCAAUGCACAUAAUGACGAAGAAAAUCGGGGCAGAUGUCGGACAGCCAAUGAAAGGGCCAAUGGGUGGUGAGAGUCUGACGAAUGGAGUUAAUGUCUGGAGUGUCAAUAUGAAAUAUUCGAGUGCCGUACGUAGAACGCACGGGCGUGACCUUUAGCCAAUGGAAGGGAAAAAAAGGACAGGCUGUGGCUUUUGUGUACCUGACAAAGGAGCCAUUAAAAUCCUCAUGGAUUUAUUGGAUCGUCACCGCAAUCGAGCACUCGAAGGGUGAAAAAAAAAUGAAUCCAUUUCACGGGGAGGGAAUGCAUUUCACCAUUUGCCGGGACCUUUUGAGGAAAAAAUUUAAUGGAAUAAUCGAUCAUAAUUUUUGAGCUGAGGGGGUUGAUGUCGAUGAAUUAAAUUUUUAUUUUAUCGAUGUAAUUGAUAAUUACACCUCUGUGAGGAUCUUACAAGGGGGGGCGGAGUCCAAAGUGAAUGAAAAAUUAUUUUACUCCCUCACUGAAACACGAAAUUUUUUCCCCAGCUCAAUAUAUCCUAGAACCUCAAAUACCAGGAGAAACCUGUGACAUUUGACGUUGGAAGGGUCAAAAUUGUCGGUAAAUAAUGCGGGAUUUUUUUUUUCACUUCGACUUCUCGACUCACGUAUCUCACUCAUCAAAUGUUUACCCGGGGAAUUAGCAACGGGCGUAACUCGGCUCUCUGAUGUCGUUUGGUAGGCGUAAAUAAAGUAGCCGUCAACUGUUGGGGAGCGCUAACCACUGCUAAGUGUCCUCCCAAUCUGUGUACGUUAUCCAUUAACGUUUUCACGUGGUAUCUUAUGUCGGGUGGGGUCAAUUACAGUACAGUAGUCGGUUAUUUUUUCGAGGGUGAAAGGUAGCCACAUACUUCAACUCGCCGAGUCCUAAACAAGCAGCACGUCAAUCCCUCUGAUGUAUGUGAAACUCUCGAGGGACUGUUAGUCUUCUAGAAUUCUUCGAUAUAAUUUUUGGGAGAGUCAGCCAUUUUGCAGUGACUACGAGAAAUUUUGAAUGGCUCAAAAUACUUCUCGGGUCCGUUUACCCCGGAAUAUUUUUCUCAAAGAUUAUAAAAUGAAAAUGUAUUGGAGAAUUGGCUUAUCGUAGAUGACUAGUGACGAAUUAUUCAUCAACGAUGAAAAGCUGUCGAGUGUCGGAGAGUGGAUAUCGUAUUCAAUUGUGUCACUUUGUUUUUUCAGUGAUCUGUUAUGAUAGAUAAAGCACACUCGAUCAUGAGAGAACAUUAAUCAAUUGUGACUGAAGGCAUGGUGUUCAAUCAUUGGACGGAAGUGACACUGUGACGAGAGUGGAAAAAUAUUGAUGGGAAUUUUUUUUAAUUUUGAGGGCGAGUUCAAGUUGGAUUACAUGGAUCUAUUAGUCGUGAGAUUUUUUGGACUUUAAAACAGAGAAUAAAAAUUCAACAUUAAGAUAGUGAUUAUCAAAAAGUAAAAAAAUGAGCCGUUGAGUUUGAAAAUUUUUACUGCCCCAGCAUCACUCAAUUUUUACGUAAUGAAACUAUCAAGAAGAUAUCCUUCCCACAAAUAGCCCCCCCCCCCUCUCCGACCAUUGAGUCCUUAAUGCCCCAUUCAUCCAAUUCCCCCUCCCCCAAACAAUAAAAAUAAAUGACCCCCGCGAUAAAGACAAUAACUCCCCUGAAAAACCGGUUGCCCAUCCAUUAAAUCCUACCCCCAAAUGACCAUAACUCAUUCCGAUAAAUGAAAUAUGAAAGUAAUCCCGUGGAUUACCACACGGAGUCAUCCAAUGACUGCCUCUCUCAUCCUCAAAACAAUUUCGGUGUUCUCUCACAGAGAGGUCAUGUGGCAUUCGUUAAAACCCCAUGGGGGCGAGAUAUCCAAAGAAGAAGUUAGGUGCCACGUACCUUAUCGUAAACGUCUCAUAACGACGUCUCGCCUGUAAUGACGCGUGACACACGACGACAUUAUGGAGAAAGGACUCGAGCGUUGGCUCGUAAACUCUCGCCUCAAUCCCUUUGCAUUUCCCCCGCGCCAUUUACGAUCAUAAGGGCACCUCGCGGGUUAUGCUAUUUCGUGCUGAUGUCAUAUCGCAUGACAAACCAAUGGCAUCAAAGGACUGCCGACGUCGGUUUGAUUAACAUGUAAAAAAAAGAAAGAUGAUCUUUUUUUAAACAAAAUCCAGUGUAACUGUCUUUGAAGACGGUUUUACACUGUGCUAGAUAUCUAACGAGUAUAUCAUAUAUUCCUAUAUUAUUAUGAAUAAAUUGGCUGCUGCCAGAUGGUGAGAGUGCUUACGCGGUACCCCAGCCGAAUUCCCUACCCACACGUACCUCUAAAAGAUAACUUAUAUCUAACUCCACAUGCACUGGGUUCGUUUUCCGGCUAUGAAAAACUCCUUCAUCAUUGGGACUCGAACCUGGUCAUAGGGCCAGCACUAACCACGAGCCCAAAAACAUUCUUAUAUAUAUAUAUAUAUAUAUAUAAUAUUUGUCAUGUUGUAGUGAGAAGAAAACAGUAAGUAUUUUACUCAUUUCAUUUUCUCAACCUCUACUUCCUUUUCAUCCACCGCUGCCAAUCUCUCGCCACGUCGGCGCCGUGAAGAAAAUUAGACACUGUAAACGCAGACGUCCCGCAGGAUAAUAACAGUUGUGUUUUAGUUUUUUUUUUCCUCUUGAAUCUCCCUCGACUAGGGCUCCACUUAAGUACCCACCUAGUUUCGAAUCUAUUUAUUAUGUUCCGGGACGGAGGAUCAUCCCGUGUCAAUUAGACACGUCGGGAUGCGAUUGUUUGUACGGCGGCACACUUUGUAGUCUGUCUUCUUUCUCACUUGUUACAUCUCUACCUUUCCGUUCUUCUCGAUACGCCCGCAAAUUGCCGAACUGUGUUUCGGGGAGAGUAUCGGCUUGAACGACUUGAUGAUGAUACCGCCUAGGGAGCCAUCAUCGGCAGGAGGAAGUUGAAGAUUAAUGGUUUUCGGAGGUUCGAUUCGUCAGGGAAAUGAAAAGCCGACUGAUGAGAACUGCCCGAAGGAGGAAUUUAUGAUUUUGGUGGAAAGCUAACCGAUUUUCGAAAACAAUACGAAGCAUUAAAUCAUUUAGAGUAGGCAAACAAAUAAAAUUUUCUCCCUCCCUUCAUCCUUCAAUUUCUCACUCGAUUCUUCUUUUUCAGUUAUUAAAAAAUUAUUUUUCCCUCAGAGGCCGAAGGUUUUUCUUCUUUUCCUCAAUUCUCUAUUUUGCCACACAUUAUAUACUUUUCUCAAUGUCAAUUCCCUCUUUCCUCACUGCAGUCUGGGAGCAUUACUCUCCUGCUCGAUCAUUAAAUGAGUGUAAAAAAAUAUGUACUGAACAUUACAGUGUUGAAUUUACGAGUGAGGCCAGGAAAAGGUGCGGCACUCGUAAAACUGAAAUAUCACAAUUCGUUUUUUCUCUCCCACCAUUGGUAAAGCAUUAUUCAAGUAGAGGUGAAGAGAAAGGGGUUUAUUGUUGACUUGGGAAAACCAAUUUUUAAAUCUGGGACGAUGGCUAAUUUGUACGUCCAAGUCCGUAAAAUCCACGUAUACAUCUCGAAUUCGUAAUGCUUGGUGA